AGGGCUGCUCUCACUUUCCGAGGGUCAGCAUUCUGACUAUGGACCUCCCAGGAAGGGAUUCCACCCCACACCCCCCAUCUUGUGGGACACGAAGCAGAGACUUGCAGACAGACAGCAGGCGGCCUCAGAGAGGCGACAGGUUCAAAUCCUGACACCAGCAUCCCACAUCUGUGUGGCCUCGGGCGGGUGUUCACGUGGACAGCAAGAGUACUAGGCACCAGGGUGACUCCACGCCACAGACACGGACGAGAAAGGCCCGUGUGGAUACCCUACAGUGGAAGCUGAAGGCAGGCUCAGCACCCCGUGCUUGCUCCCCUUGACGAGACCAGCCCAAAGUCCACUCCUCCAGGCCUUGAUUUCCCCAGCUGUGAAGGGGCAAGACAGAAUUACAGGGGCCCUGCCAUGGCACAGAACGUGAACAGGAAAUGCCCAUUUCACCCCAUGCCCAACGAAGCCCAGCUCCUUGCCCCUGGAGGGCAUCAGGUUUUCCCAUGAGACAGCUCCUUCCGCCAGCUCUGCCCUCUGGCUACUGCUUAUCUCCCUGAUAAAUGGCCCCACUGUCCUGCCAGAGGAAGAGCUGUCUGUGUCCUUCAGAGCCCUCCCGGCUCCGGCAGGGCCCCAUCGGUGAGGACCUGGGCCUCGGCACGUCGGCAUGGUGGCCAGAGAGAGAUCCCAGGCCACUGACCCAAGUCCUGCCAGUUGGGUUGGGGGCUCCGGCCCCAGGGAGGUGGCUGUCUCGCUGCCAGCUAUCUUUCUGGGGGGACUCUGGUUUGAAGCAUGAGAAAGGCCAGGUUUUGGUGAGUUUGAGUGGGCAAGGCCCUGAUCUCACAGGCACUCACCAUCCUCUCCCAGGGCCCCCAGCCCCUGCAUGCCCCCCACCUGACACGCACGUAGCAGCGGGACACCCCAGCCGUGACCUGGCAGCAGAGACGGGCAGCUUUGAUCUGCAUGUGACCCUAAUGUGACCGUUGGCAGAUGCUGGCUGGGGGC
ensembl:lncRNA